CUAUCUAUCUAUCUAUCUAUCUAUCUAUCUAUCUAUCUAGCAAUAAUGGAUCACAUGAUUGUCAAUAUUAUUCUCUCUAUGUGUUUUGGUCAGUUAUAUUUUCUACAAACAUAAAACACUACAUGAUCGUUAUGUAGACAAACUAACAUGGAUAAUGUUCUUUACAAUUAUGUUUUUAUUUUAGUUUGAGUCAAACAAGUCAGUGAUGAGCUCCUCACUGUGUCGGUCCUAACGGUUUAAAACCACUUCAUAUGAUUUGCGCGGAGAUAUGUGGUUUUGACAGGACGGAGACAGUUUAAUAAUCCAUUAGAUCGAAUAAAAGUUAAGAGAAGGACAAUAAAACACGGAACAAGGACUUUACACGGUGACAAGUUGUAUCAUGGUCUUUUAAUUUGAAAACCUGGAAGCGGACAUGGGUGUGUCGUGUUUAAAUUAGUGCCUCCAAACAGCAGCUGUUAGCCUGUUAGCUCAUGAAUGUUACGUCUUUCUGUGGCUGAGUUUUGGAUAAAAUGCCUCGGGUCGGAGCUGAGGAGGAGCUGCGAACUCUGGCGGAGUGUCAAUACAGUUAUCCAGCAGAGACUCUGUCUGAUCUUCAGAGGGUUCGAUCACUUUUCUCUGAUCUUCGUCUUUAUGUAGAUUUUUACUGUUUUCCUAGCAAAGAGAAGAAGAAGUUGGUUUACCUGGCCG